CAGCAGAGACGUCGACUAGCCAUACUCCUCACAACUCCUGUUUCGUAACUUAAUCGAGGUCACCUGAAGGACGGCGUUCCUGAGUUUCCUCAGCAACGGCAAGACCCGCACUCCUCUCAUAUCGGGAAGUUUAACGAGUUUUGCGGCUCAAGCAAGAGGCACCUGUCACUGAAGGACUGCUUUUCUCAGCAACGACGUGAACAGCAUUAACGUUACUCGAAUUUCAUGGUUCAGCUGAUCUACCCGUCUUCGUACACGCAGAGUUGGCAGAGGAGGUCAUA